GCAAAGACUUGGAACGGGAAGAGUAGGCAGCGUACCCUUCAGAGAGCGGAAUCCACGGCUGAGAGAUUCUGCAGGACAUGUAGCUCACCGAAGUCGCCCGGGAGUUGUCCGUUUGAGCAGCAUAUCAUAUGGGGUUAGAACGGACCGGCAGCAGCCGUUAUCUGCAUGAGAGUCGCAUUUCUUGCACCGGAUGGUGAAUGAACCGGAUGCCAUUGAUGCGAAACAAAGGUGGUACCGCGAAAGUAAAGCCUUUCGUCCUUUGA
rnacentral:ncRNA from 1 species